GUCCUGUAAAACCACACAAAGGAAAGGUGUGAGGAUUCUCUCAGAGCACUUCCCAUUAGGAGUGGCAAAAUGUUGGUGGAAUUUGUCGUUUCUUAAGAAUUGUUUUGUUCCCCCAAACAUUACCAGCCAUAUAUUUCUUGCCGAAGAAGUAUUUUUAAUAAUUCAUUUAAAUUCACAAAACAUUUCAUUCAGUUUUGAAGAAGUUUUGCCUUUGCUGGCCAUGAAGUGUGUCCAUCUGCAAGUCAAAAUUUUAAUUUAAACAUACAAAUCACAUUUCUACAUUGAGGGGUGAGAGUGUGUGACUAUGGAACAAACGCAUGUAUCCGUGGUUUACAAGUUCUUUGUCAGAAUGGAACAAAACCUGCUCUUUUACUGGCCAUCUGAGGGUGCUGUUCAGCAGUGCAGAACAUGACUCCAGCACACUCUAAGAGCUAUCGGGCUUCUAGCUUCAUGAUUGACUGAUACAUGAGAAAGCACAUCUGAAAAUCCUGCACAAGGACAGCUUUUCCGUGCCCAGCCAGGCUCUUCCAGCUGUUUCUAAGAGAGAGACCUGCCCAGAAGGAGAACAAAAGAGGCCAUUCCAUUCCAUUCCAUUCCAUUCCAUUCAUGUCCAGAGAGCUCAUCUUCUUCAAAACACUGCCAAUUCCCACCUGGCAGCGAGCUCAGAGCAGCCUCCUCUGAGCUGGCCCCAGAUGUGCCUGUGCUCCAUCCUCAUGGGGACUGACAGGCCUAAACAACUGCGCCACGUGUCGCCUCCUGCAUUUUGGGGUUUGUCUUCAGGUUUUGUUCUUAAACAAAGGAAGCAGCUCAUCAGCCCCUUGAGCUCACUGCAGCGCUGUGAUUUAUUCUGCAGCCGUCUGGCAGGUGGAGCAAUAUUUCCUCAUCAGAGCCAUCACCUGCGAGCGCUGCGCGCCCGCAACGCUCCACAGGACGCGCCUCCUCGGGCACACGUGCUCCAGGCACGCAGUCACCAGCACCAAAGCUGACUGAGGCUGCCAAAUUUUGCUGUUCUGUCAAGCCAAGCCCUCGCAUCUAGUGGCACCCUUUCAGUGCUAGUCUGCCUCCAGUACAGUACCAAGCAGCCCCUCUCCCACUUGGACUCUCUUUCAAAGCUGUCAGUCGCUAACCUCCAAAUGAGCGCUCAGGUGCCAUUUCUAAUCUGCCAGCAAUAUGUACUGAGAUGCCCCUUGCUGAUGGGAGAAGACAGCAAUAAGAUGGGCUUCUGUGAAGCUAAAAUGAGCUUCUCUCACACUAAUGAGGCAGGACUGACAGGCCUCGAGGUGUCAAGUAGAGACUCCAAGCCUAAAGAUGCGAUGGAUGUGCCAGUGCUGUACCAAAAAUCACAUUGCUCCACACAGGCACUGGAGGAGAUUUCUGCAUCCUCCUCCCUCCUCAUCUAUCACUCACCUUCCAGCACACACUGCACAGCUGGGCAGAGCAAAAGGAUAUUGAUCAAGAACAAAGAACACCUCCAGGAUGCUGGUUUUACACCCUCACAAUGUGGAACAGCAAGGCCAAUCCAGGAGGACAGAAAUGAACACAUUCCAAAUAGCCAUGCACCACAACAACCACCACAACGUGUCUCUCACUCUAAGGAUGGAGUCUCUGCCCUUACUGCUUUCUGUCUGUAUUUUUGGGGAGAGCUGAGGGAUGCAAGACAUGCUCAGGAAGGGCCUUCAGACCACAGGCUCAUGUCACACUCACAGCCAUCAUGUCCUGCCCUCAGCACAGUUCCGAGCAAUUUGGUCUUUCUACACCAAACUGAAAAGGAUGGACUGACACAAAUCCCCACCUGUUAUCCCCACCUGUGGAUACCACACUCAUCCUAGCAGUUCCACCUCUUCCUUUCAAGGAUAGAGUGGCUGAGCUGUACCACAAUUAGCAUGUAAUUUGUAAGUCAUUAUAGCACAAAGUGUCUGGUGAGAAUAUUUUAUUGAAUAAACCUGAUGAGCAUAAUUUUCCGUGGAACUAUAAAAAUAUUAAACUAC